AGUGAACGCUGGCGGUAGGCCUAACACAUGCAAGUCGAACGGCAGCACAGUAAGAGCUUGCUCUUACGGGUGGCGAGUGGCGGACGGGUGAGGAAUACAUCGGAAUCUACUUUUUCGUGGGGGAUAACGUAGGGAAAGUUACGCUAAUACCGCAUACGACCUACGGGUGAAAGCAGGGGAGAUUCGGACCUUGCGCGAUUGAAUGAGCCGAUGUCGGAUUAGCUAGUUGGCGGGGUAAAGGCCCAGCAAGGCGACGAUCCGUAGCUGGUCUGAGAGGAUGAUCAGCCACACUGGAACUGAGACACGGUCCAGACUCCUACGGGAGGCAGCAGUGGGGAAUAUUGGACAAUGGGCGCAAGCCUGAUCCAGCCAUACCGCGUGGGUGAAGAAGGCCUUCGGGUUGUAAAGCCCUUUUGUUGGGAAAGAAAAGCAGCAGGUUAAUACCCCGCUGUUCUGACGGUACCCAAAGAAUAAGCACCGGCUAACUUCGUG
rnacentral:rRNA from 1 species